rnacentral:lncRNA from 1 species
AUGACAAAGACAAAUAUGACAGAAUAUGAACAAGGAUAUAACCAAGAAAACUAAGUAACUUUAUUUAAAGAUAUUAUAUAACAUUUGAAUUAAUGGGGACCUAACUCAUGUUCUUAGAUAGGAAGACCAAAUAUCAAACUGUGUCAAUUUUCUAAUUGACCACUAGAUUGAAUGCAAUACCAAUUUAAUAUCUCUCAGCAAUAAUUUCCUUUUAUAGAAUUUGUCAAGCUGAUUCUAAAAUAUAUGUGGAAAGAGCAAAGGUCUAAGAUGUUCCAAGUUUUGUUACAUACAUCAGUGGCCCUGAAAUCACUUUUGUUAAAAUGGUUCUUUAAUAUGCAUCAGAAUUACCCGGAGUUGGAGAAUAAGUUUUUAAGCAUAGAUUUCUGGACUCCAACCUGAGUGUUUCUCAGUCUGGAAUGGAGCCUGAGAAUUUGUAUUUCUGACAAGUUCCCAGGUUACGCUAAUGGUGCUGGUCUAGACUACCCUUUUUGAACAAAUGCUAUAUAAGUGUACUGACUGUAUGUAUUUGUAGAACUUCCAUUACUUUCAUUGUAGCAUAAUGAUAAAAAUCCUAGACUCAUGAGAAAGACACAGGGAUUCUGAUGUUUAAUGUGCCAGUUACUCUCAAUGUACUAUAGGCUCUCAGCUUGCUCAUCUGUGAAAUAAAUAGAUUGGGUAAAAUGACCUUUCUUCAUGUUGAAUUCUUGGUAUCACUUUAUAACCACGACCUUGGUCACACAGUAAAAUGUAGUUUGAUUAUAUAUCAAUGCACAAAAAUGGGUUGGCUAUUAUUGUCCCUUUUGGUUUGUUUCUAUUUCAAUGUAGAUCAAUCUGUUUUUAGGUAGGUAGUAUGUACUAUUGGAAAUCUAGCUACAAUCAGAGGUUAAGAUGUUUCUAAAGGUACCAUGAUUUACUGCAAAAACUAUUUCCUGUUGAAAUUUCAGGGAAUAAAAAAAUUCCCUAAAACAUAUCUAGAAUGUCUAAUAGACAUAAAAGAAAAUACCUUAAAAACUUCAGCCCACUCUUUACUUAUUUACUACAUUAGAAUUCCUAGCGCACCCAAACCAUGCCUGAAAGCAGGUUUUGCUCCUGCUUUCUCAAUAGACUCACAAUCCCUUGGGACCAUUUCCCUCUCAGUGAGCUACAUCUCAAUCAGUAGACAAUUCACCGAGGAGACUCAGUUUGAAUUCUUGCUUCAUCUAGUCACACUCAAUUGAACAUAGAGGCCUGUGAUCAUUAAAGGCCGCCACUUUCUCCUGACAGUUUCAUGGAAGCGAUCCAGAGCUACUCAGUCCCUGAAUUUCAUAUUCCCUUGAAAUUGGAGCUGCACAGUGUAGAGCGGUGUGACCUUUUCCUGUAGGCAUUUUUCCUCCCUAUGUGUCCCAGCAGGUAUUAUAGUGUUUGAAAUAUCUGUGGUUGUCUGAAACACUGAAGAGUGAUGAUGGCAGCCUACAAUAGAGAAU